GCCGGGUGUGGUGGCGUGUGCCUGUAGUCCCAGCUACUUAGGAGGCUGAGGCAGGAGAAUCACUUGAACCCGGGAGGCGGAGAUUGCAGUGAGCCGAGAUUGCGCCACUGCACUCCAGCCUGGACUACAGAGUGAGAUUCUGUCUCAA
rnacentral:SRP_RNA from 1 species